rnacentral:rRNA from 1 species
GGGGAAUAUUGGACAAUGGGGGGAACCCUGAUCCAGCAAUGCCGCGUGUGUGAAGAAGGCCUGAGGGUUGUAAAGCACUUUCGGUGGGGAGGAGGAUUGAUUGGUUAAGAGCUGAUUGAUUGGACGUUACCCACAGAAGAAGCACCGGCUAACUCCGUGCCAGCAGCCGCGGUAAUACGGAGGGUGCGAGCGUUAAUCGGAAUUAUUGGGCGUAAAGGGUGCGUAGGUUGUGGAAUAAGUUAUCUGUGAAAUCCCUGGCUUAACCUGGGCAGGUCAGAUGAGACUGUUUUACUCGAGUAUGGGAGAGGGUAGUGGAAUUUCCGGUGUAGCGGUGAAAUGCGUAGAGAUCGGAAGGAACACCAGUGGCGAAGGCGGCUACCUGGCUUAAUACUGACACUGAAGCACGAAAGCGUGGGGAGCAAAC